rnacentral:rRNA from 1 species
AUUGAACGCUGGCGGCAUGCUUUACACAUGCAAGUCGAACGGCAGCGCGGGCUUCGGCCUGGCGGCGAGUGGCGAACGGGUGAGUAAUAUAUCGGACCGUACCCAAGAGUGGGGGAUAACGUAGCGAAAGUUACGCUAAUACCGCAUACGAUCUAAGGAUGAAAGCAGGGGAUCGCAAGACCUUGUGCUCCUGGAGCGGCCGAUAUCUGAUUAGCUAGUUGGUGAGGUAAAGGCUCACCAAGGCAACGAUCAGUAGCUGGUCUGAGAGGACGACCAGCCACACUGGAACUGAGACACGGUCCAGACUCCUACGGGAGGCAGCAGUGGGGAAUUUUGGACAAUGGGGGCAACCCUGAUCCAGCAAUGCCGCGUGAGUGAAGAAGGCCUUCGGGUUGUAAAGCUCUUUUGUCAGGGAAGAAAAGGCUGUGGCUAAUAUCCACAGCUGCUGACGGUACCUGAAGAAUAAGCACCGGCUAACUACGUGCCAGCCGCCGCCGUAAAAC